UUACAGACCUUUUCUUUGAACCAUGUUGGAAGAAAUAAAAAGUUUUUUUCCUUCAAGAAGAUGCAAGCACCUUAAGAGAAAAAUCCAACUAAUUAUCCAGAAAAGGCACAGUGCCCUGCAUUAUUGGGACAUUUUAUGCAAAUAGCAGUUAACCGUGUGAAACUGCUCCAUCGGUCUCUGUAACCCAGGCAAAGGCCCCUUGGAAGGAUUUCCAGCCCACUGCUGAGCCAGAAGCAUGGAUGUAUGAUGUGUCCACUCCCAGGUGAAAAUGAGCAGGCUUUGAACAGGCUGAGCUGUCAGUGGUGGCCCAGAUGGAAAAUGCAAAACAUCACCCAUAAAGUCUUCAGGAAAGGAACUCAUGGAUCUCCUUUUAAUUGUGAAGAGGUUCCCAGGCAUUUCUUCAUGGAUCACCUGCGUAGUCCAAGUCAUAGAUCAAGAAUCUACAGGAUUUAAAUGGCAAAUGUCAGCAUAUUUAUAAAUGGCUUUGGUAGAAUCAUAUUUUCAAACAUGCUUUUGCUCAUAAUUCUCUGUUAAGUGACAAGACCAUCACCUUCCUGUAAAUUAGUUCUUCCAGAACAUCUCAGUUUAGCCAGGUAACAACCACUGAAUGUUCACAAAACAUCCUUGGUGACUGACUUCUGAAGUAUACACCAAACAAGGAAGAGCAUCCAUGAUCCAUGGAGCCCCUGUAACCAGGCAAAUCUAUGGCAGCUACUAAGCACUUGAGAGAAACGUGGGAAAAUGUACCGUUGGGAAAGACAGAAGACGAAAGCCCAAUUCCAGGAUCCACUGGUUCAUGCAGCAACAUGCCUAGGCCUGACUUUGGUUGGUCUUUCUGUAUAAAGCAGAGCUGUGAAGAGGCCGGGAGUCCUCCCAAGGUUAGCAGGCUUCUGAGCUCCUGGAGGAAGUUUAGUGACAAAAGGCCACGUCUGACAGUGCAUUUUACUCCCUGA
ensembl:lncRNA